GAGAGAGAGAUGAGCAAUGCGCUCUGCUGAAGGACCAGCUGCACAGGGCCUCACAGGAGGGCGAUCGGUCCACGGCGGAGCUGCUGCAGGAGCUGCAGGAGGUCAAAGGUGAAGCGGCCGCCACCAAAGAGGAGCUGAACAGCUUCCGGGAGCGCAGCCUCAAACUGCAGGAGGACAUCGAGGUCAGAGACGCGUCCAUCGCUGAGCUGAAGGACAGAGUUCAGGAGCUCCAGACUGCUUUGGCCAAAUCCAGCGAGGAGCUGCUACAACAGACACCUCCC